GUGCGCACCAGAGGCAGGAAGCGCUCCGUGCUGAAGUAGCGCAGCGCUGGGCGGGGGUCGCGCAGCGCGGCGAGGAAGACCUGCGGCGGCGGGAGGAGGCGCGUGGCCGGGGCUGCCCCCCCCCCCCACCGACGCGUCGUCUCUGUUCCCGGGGGCGCGCCCAGUGUCUACCUCGGUCACCUCCUCUGGGUCCUGCGCCGCCUCGCCUGGAUGGCAGAAGUGAGAUAAUGAACGCUAAGUGCCCAGUACUGCAUCUGGUGUACAAGGAGUGUGAGCCGCAGUGGAGAGGGGCCAGGAAGGACGCCUGAGAGUGGCUCAAAACAGCCCCUCAGAUACCUUUGAAGCUCCUGGAGGGGUCGGAGGCCAGACGCAGGGCCAGGUGCAGGCCAAUGCCGGAGGAGCAGCCGGUGAUGAGCACCACAGUGCGGUCCAUGGGGAGACUUGUGCGGGUGGAGGGGGCACGGGGAAUGCAAGGCUAGGGGCUCUGAGCUCAAGAGCCCCUGCUUUGCCCCGCCUUUGGGGUGCCCACCCCUUGUUGUGUCUCUAGCACAAUCUCAAGGCUGAGCCUUCCCGCCAGUCUGGAGCCUCCUCACCUCCGUCAAAGCAGAGAUGAGGCCACUGCUCAGAGUACCCCUGGCCAGAGGGAGGGGUCAGCUGGUAGCGGCUGUUCUGCUCAUAGAAGCGGGCCUCGGCCUCACUGACGGCCGCCGCCCGGGCCUGCUCCAGCCAGCUGCCCAGCAGGAAGCGGCCAUCACUGGCCAGCACUUCGUCCAGCGAGGGCAGAAGCUCGUAGACCAGGAUGCCUGCCGCCCUCAGCAGGGGAGCCAGCUCCUUGUUCAGAUAAGAAGACAGAGGUCCAGAGAGGUUAAAUGACUCAAUCGCAGGACACUCAUUCCGAUUCAGGAGAAUCUGCAGACCCGACAGGGUGUGUGGUGAAGCCGAUGCCGCCAGUCCUGGAUCACACUUCGAGCAGGUGCUCCCUCUCAGGGAAGCCAGGGCCAAUGGGUCCCCUUCCUGGCUGACACAGAGACCUCCCCACCCGGCCAUUCCUGACCUGGCCCCUCUCUGCCCCACCCCUGUAAGUGGCAGGAAGUUGUGCUGACUUUACAUCUGCGCACAAGGAAGAACACCUACCGGCUUUGAACACAUCCCCUGAGCUCUGGCCCGCGUUACCUGCCUCAGCUCGGAGGCAGAGAGCAAAUAAAAUACUUCCGAUAGCCAGCA